AUACGUAGGGUGCAAGCGUUAAUCGGAAUUACUGGGCGUAAAGCGUGCGCAGGCGGUUUUGUAAGACAGUGGUGAAAUCCCCGGGCUCAACCUGGGAACUGCCAUUGUGACUGCAAGGCUGGAGUGCGGCAGAGGGGGAUGGAAUUCCGCGGGUAGCAGUGAAAUGCGUAGAUAUGCGGAGGAACACCGAUGGCGCAGGCAAUCCCCUGGCCUGCACUGACGCUCAUGCACGAAAGCGUGGGGGGCAAACAGGAUUAGAUACCCUGGUAGUCCACGCCCUAAACGAUGUCAACUGGUUGUUGGGAAUUUAUUUUCUCAGUAACGAAGCUAACGCGUGAAGUUGACCGCCUGGGGAGUACGGCCGCAAGGUUAAUACUCAAAUGAAUUGACGGGG
rnacentral:rRNA from 1 species